rnacentral:tRNA from 1 species
GGAGAGAUGGCCGAGUUGGUUAUGGCGUCAGGUUAAGGCUACUAAGCUUUGACACUUAAGCAUCUAACUCUCAUGAGUUGGAUGGACGUUUCCUGAUGGGAGUAUUCCCGCGUGGGUUCGAAUCCCACUCUCUUCA